rnacentral:rRNA from 1 species
UACUUGUACCGACUGGAUGAGCAGCGAACGGGUGAGUAACGCGUGGGGAAUCUGCCUUUGAGCGGGGGACAACAUUUGGAAACGAAUGCUAAUACCGCAUAAAAACUUUAAACACAAGUUUUAAGUUUGAAAGAUGCAAUUGCAUCACUCAAAGAUGAUCCCGCGUUGUAUUAGCUAGUUGGUGAGGUAAAGGCUCACCAAGGCGAUGAUACAUAGCCGACCUGAGAGGGUGAUCGGCCACAUUGGGACUGAGACACGGCCCAAACUCCUACGGGAGGCAGCAGUAGGGAAUCUUCGGCAAUGGACGAAAGUCUGACCGAGCAACGCCGCGUGAGUGAAGAAGGUUUUCGGAUCGUAAAACUCUGUUGGUAGAGAAGAACGUUGGUGAGAGUGGAAAGCUCAUCAAGUGACGGUAACUACCCAGAAAGGGACGGCUAACUACGUGCCAGCAGCCGCGGUAAUACGUAGGUCCCGAGCGUUGUCCGGAUUUAUUGGGCGUAAAGCGAGCGCAGGUGGUUUAUUAAGUCUGGUGUAAAAGGCAGUGGCUCAACCAUUGUAUGCAUUGGAAACUGGUAGACUUGAGUGCAGGAGAGGAGAGUGGAAUUCCAUGGGUAAACGGGUGUGUGA